rnacentral:misc_RNA from 1 species
CCCGCCACCUCUGCGUUGUUAAACCCUAGCAACGUAUUCAUUCUCCGGCCGAGCCAAAACCGCCUCCGUACAGUAAAAACCAAAAACGAUGGACGUUGAUACACUGAUGGAACCAAUGGACUUAAAAGUCUCAGAGUUGUUGAAGGAAGUCCAGGUCGAUUACUCACCUGCUCUCACCGAACUCGUGGACGACACCGUUUCAGCCAUCAAAGAAGCCAUCAACCAAAUUCCCGAAGGCAUCGAGGUUACAGUUGAUGAAGCUCCAGGUUUUGUUAAGGAUAUUGGUGCAGAUAAAGUGGAGUUUAAGUUUAAGAAGCCAAAAUCCGUUGAAAUUGGAGGCAGUUAUUCGAUGAAAUGCAUUGCAAAGCCUGAUAUUAAUGUGGACCUCUUCAUUCAGUUGCCAAAGGAGUGUUUCCAUGAGAAAGAUUAUUUAAAUUACCGGUACCAUGCCAAAAGGUUCCUUUACCUCUGCAUACUCAAGAAGUUCUUGAAGUCUUCUUCAUUAGUUCACAAGGUUGAAUGGUCCUCCUUCCACAAUGAGGCCCGAAAACCUGUAUUGCUUGUCUAUCCAGCCAGGAAGGUUGUUGAAUUCCCUGGGCUCUUUGUGAGGGUAAUUCCUACGGCAAAAUUCCUAUUUAAUGUCGCAAAGUUGGACAUGAAGCGGAACAAUAUUCGUGCUUUAAAUCAAGAGGGGAAUACGCCGCUGCCUACACCAAGAUAUAAUAGUAGUAUGUUGGAAGACAUGUUUUUAGAGGACAACACAGAAUUUCUUAAGAAAACUUUUCUUGGAUGGAGGGAAUUGAGAGAGGCUCUAAUUUUGCUGAAGGUUUGGGCUCAGCAGAGAAGUUCUAUAUAUGCCCAUGAUUGCUUAAAUGAGUUUCUAAUAGCUGUCAUAUUGUCGUACCUAGCAACGUAUGAGAAGGUUAAUAAUUCUAUGAAGCCAUUGCAAAUAUUUCGUGUUACAAUGGAUUUUAUAGCUAGUUCAAAAUCAUGGAGCCAAGGGCUUUACUUCUGGCAGCAACGUGAGGUCAAGGUCUCCAAGGAGGAAAGGUUGCUCUAUAAAGAAACAUUUCCAGUAGUGAUUUGUGAUUCAUAUGCACACCUCAAUUUGGCUUUUCGGAUGAAAAGUAAUGGUUUCUUAGAGCUGCAAGAUGAGGCUGCCUUGGCACUUAAAUGCUUAGAGAAAUCAGGAGAUGUUGCUUUUGAGGAUAUUUUUAUGACCAAGAUUGACUUCUCUUCUAAAUUUGAUUAUUGCAUAAGAUUGAACUUGAAAGGAAAUAGCAAGGUUUGUGCAUCAGGGUUUUGUUUGGAUGAUGAAUGUUGGAGAUUGUACGAGCAGAAGGUACACAAUAUUCUGUCUCAAGGACUGAGUGACAGGGCCAAGUUCAUUCGUGUUAUUUGGAGAAACUUCCAUUCUGAUUGUGACAUGGAAAAUGGUUUGUCAACACUGGAUACAGAGCCACUGCUUAUUGGAAUUUCAGUAAGCUCUUUAGAGAAAGCAUUUAGAGUUGUUGAUAUUGGUCCAAAUGCUGAUAAUAAAGAGGAGGCUCUCAAGUUUCGGAAGUUUUGGGGAGAAAAGGCAGAGCUCCGUAGAUUUAGAGAUGGUAAAAUUGCUGAAAGCACAGUAUGGGAAAGUGAGCAGUGGGCGAAACAUCUCAUUCUGAAAAGAAUAAUUGAAUAUGUACUCCUCCAACAUCUUUCUUUAUCAAAAACAAACAUCCUGCAAGUUGUGGAUCAACUUGAUUUCUCCCUUCUUCAUGGUGUUGAAGAUCCUAUGUCAUUUUCUGCAAGUUUGCUUGCGGCAUUUGAACUUCUAUCAAAGCGCUUACGUUGUAUUGAGGACAUUCCCUUGAAGGUGUCUAGUGUGCAGCCUUUAGACCCAGCUUUCAGGUUCACAUCCGUCUUCCCUCCUAGACCACAUCCACUAGCAAGUGAAAAGGGUCACGUUCCAAAAUUACGUAAGCUGAUUUCAUCCUGUAUCCAGCCAUUGGAAGUUAUGAUUCAGUUGGAAGGUUCUGGGAACUGGCCAAUGGAUGAGGUGGCAAUUGAGAAAACUAAAUCUGCUUUCCUUCUUAAAAUUGGGGAGAGUCUUCAGAAUAGUUGGGGGAUGACAUGUAUUGCUACUGAGGAUGACGUGGAUGUUUUUCUUUCUGGAUUUGCAUUUCGUCUUAAAAUUUUGCAUGAGAGAGGCUUAAGCUUGGUGAAAAGGGAAAUUGGAAGUGAUAUAGUGAAGAGGGUUCCUUUUGUAGACAAGAAACUCUUUGUUCGUGGUCAGCAUUCUAGCAUGAUUAAUGGGUUACAGGGAAUUUACCAAAUGUAUGGGCCAGUUGUUAGGCUUGCAAAACGAUGGGUCGCUUCCCAUCUGUUUUCAGAUUGCUUGGUUGAGGAGGCAGUUGAAUUAUUGGUUGCACAUCUCUUUGUGAAGCCUUUGCCAUUUACUGCUCCUUGUUCACGCAUCGCUGGAUUCUUAAGGUUCUUGCGACUACUUGCUGACUAUGAUUGGACCUUUUCUCCUUUGGUUGUUGACAUAAAUAAUGAUUUUACUCCGAUUGACAAGAAAGAGAUUUAUGAUAACUUUACACUGAGUAGAAAAGGUCAUGAAGAAAACGCACAGAACAUAAGCCCGUCAAUGUUCUUGGCAACAUCCUAUGACAAGGCAUCUGAAGCUUGGACCAGAUUUGCACCAAACUCACUGGUUAGUGGUUCUUCCCCAUUAAUUUGGUUGUACAAACCUUCUCCUCAUCUGUUCAUGCUUGCCAGUUUUCCAAAGGUUUUUGCUUUUAUUUUUCACUUCUCUGUCUGAGCUGCGCUUGCCUUUUUUGAUUAAUUUGUCUACUUCUCAUUAUCUGUUCCUUCUCUGUUAUCUUGUGUUGUUUGAUUUUUCUAUUGCGUUGAAAAAAAAUAAAAAAAUGUUAUUAGUGUUAGGGUCUAUUGAAAAUGUCAGACAUCAUAAUGGAGGAAAUUCUUUUGUUUCAGCUGUGUUGAUAAAUGUUUUAUGAGGACAAUGAACUUAUUUAUCAAUAUUGCACACAUUCACCAAAGUUAGCCAUAACAAUAUGUGCUUUCUAUUCUGGCUCACGUCUCUUCAAUUAUUCAUAAUAAGUGGCAAAUAAAACAUUAAAUUAUCUUCAAUAGUACUCUGUUAAUAUUUUUAUUUGACAUGUCGGUUUGGGGAUAAAAAGGAGCUUAAGAGGUUGGUGGCCUAUGCUCGUAGCAGUGCAAACCUGCUGACUAGACUUGUAUUGGAGGAUCAGACUGGUCCUUUGAAAUGGGAGUGCCUUUUCCGAACUCCUCUGAGCAACUAUGAUGCUGUAAUUCUUCUCCAUGCAGGCAGAUUACCUUAUCCUCAGCGUCUUCUCUUCCCAUCCAAUUCAAACCAAGGUGUAUUUCUUGAAUGUUGCCAAAGAUUGAAAAGCUGCUGUGCCAAUACCUAUGUUGCUUUUUUCACUAAAAUUUUUUAUCAGGUCUCUAAUGUUGUAUAGUUCUGGCAGGGAGACUUGUGGUUCAUGGGAAUGCAAGCAAAGCUUUUCAGCCCUUCAUGUUGCCUGGAGAUUUGAGGGGUAAUUCAGAGGAGCUCAAACAUAAGCUGAUGGUGAACUUUGAUCCUUUGAUGAGCUAUGUUGCAGAUUUACAGAAAGAGUUCAACACAUUUAAGUUGUGGUAUGAUUCUCUGGGAGGUGAUGCAAUUGGCCUGACGUGGGAAACAAAGAAACGAGGACGAGAUGAAGCAGGUGAAGGAGAAGAUCCAAUUAAAGUGUUAAAAGGUGUAGGUGAAGUUGGGAAAGGAUUUGUAAGGAGUGUAUAUUUUCUUAAGGCACCAAGGCUCAUGAAAUGAGUCUCGUUUCACAAAGCUUAGAAUUUGGUUCAUCAGAAACUUCCAUGAUGUAAUCAUACUUGUUUUGCUACUUCAGUACUACCAUUUCCCUAUAGAGUGAUUCCUACUUUCGAAGAAAUAUAGGCAAAAUCUUAGCAUAUUCUGUGUUUAGGUUUUGAUCUGUUGAGUGUAGAACAGGAGAGGAAAUAGGAAUUUUUGGUGUGCCAAUUGUAUAGAAGCCUGUCUGGAAGUGUAUCCACUUGUUAAAUUAUCAUAUUUCAUUAUUUGAUAAAUGCGUGCUCUUU